rnacentral:rRNA from 1 species
GAUGAACGCUAGCGGCAGGCCUAACACAUGCAAGUCGAGGGGUAACUAGAGUGAUAGCAAUAUUACUUUGGCUAGACCGGCGCACGGGUGCGUAACACGUAUGCAACCUACCUCAUACUGGGGAAUAACUUCGAGAAAUCGGCGCUAAUACCCCAUAACAUUGCGAAGAGGCAUCUCUUUGCAAUUAAAGCUCCGGCGGUAUAAGAUGGGCAUGCGUCCAAUUAGCUAGUUGGUGAGGUAACGGCUCACCAAGGCUACGAUUGGUAGGGGUUCUGAGAAGAUGAUCCACCAGACUGGGACGGAGACACGGACCAGACUCCUACGGGAGGCAGCAGUGAGGAAUAUUGCGCAAUGGACGAAAGUUUGACGCAGCCAUGCCGCGUGCAGGAUGACGGCCCUAUGGGUUGUAAACUGCUUUUGUACGGGAAUAAACCCUUCUACGUGUAGGAGGCUGAAGGUACCGUAAGAAUAAGCACCGGCUAACUCCGUGCCAGCAGCCGCGGUAA